UCUCUGCUUUUUUGAUUUAAACAUCGGAGCGUCAUCAUCGGAGCCACAACCUCCAAUUUGGGACUUGUCUUAUAGGUCACUCCAGUGCCAGCAUCCCUGCACAAGGAUCAAGCAUCCAUCUUCAAACCUCGAUCAAUUUCAGUAGCAACAAAUAGAGGAAGAGCCAACAUUCACAUUCAUGGCUCAAAGAUGAACAUAUUUCUGACUUUCCAAUGCCGCAGCUUUCCAACAGAUGGCCAGCGAGGCUGACAAUCAAGUUCAACCAAUGACGUCGAAAAUUCUUCCAUUAAUUCAAUCGAUCGUUCCUCCACCAGU
rnacentral:lncRNA from 1 species